GAUAUACUCCCUUCAUCCAACAAAAGAUGUCUUAAGUUUGUCAAAAUUUAGAUGUAUCUAGACAUGACUUACUGUAUAGAUGCAUUCAAGUUUAGUCAAAGUUGAGACAUCUUUUGUUGUACAGAGAAAUAUACG
rnacentral:pre_miRNA from 1 species